rnacentral:rRNA from 1 species
AACAGCAGCCAUAUCACCCUGCAGCCCAAGACUGGUUGCCCACUGAAGCUAAGCAGGGUUGAGCCUGGUCAGUACCUGGGUGGGAGACCUCCUGGGAAAACUAGGUUGCUGCUGGAA